rnacentral:rRNA from 1 species
AAAUUGAAGAGUUUGAUCAUGGCUCAGAUUGAACGCUGGCGGCAGGCCUAACACAUGCAAGUCGAGCGGUAGCACAGAGAGCUUGCUCUCGGGUGACGAGCGGCGGACGGGUGAGUAAUGUCUGGGAAACUGCCUGAUGGAGGGGGAUAACUACUGGAAACGGUAGCUAAUACCGCAUAACGUCGCAAGACCAAAGUGGGGGACCUUCGGGCCUCAUGCCAUCAGAUGUGCCCAGAUGGGAUUAGCUAGUAGGUGGGGUAACGGCUCACCUAGGCGACGAUCCCUAGCUGGUCUGAGAGGAUGACCAGCCACACUGGAACUGAGACACGGUCCAGACUCCUACGGGAGGCAGCAGUGGGGAAUAUUGCACAAUGGGCGCAAGCCUGAUGCAGCCAUGCCGCGUGUGUGAAGAAGGCCUUCGGGUUGUAAAGCACUUUCAGCGGGGAGGAAGGCGAUAAGGUUAAUAACCUUGUCGAUUGACGUUACCCGCAGAAGAAGCACCGGCUAACUCCGUGCCAGCAGCCGCGGUAAUACGGAGGGUGCAAGCGUUAAUCGGAAUUACUGGGCGUAAAGCGCACGCAGGCGGUCUGUCAAGUCGGAUGUGAAAUCCCCGGGCUCAACCUGGGAACUGCAUUCGAAACUGGCAGGCUAGAGUCUUGUAGAGGGGGGUAGAAUUCCAGGUGUAGCGGUGAAAUGCGUAGAGAUCUGGAGGAAUACCGGUGGCGAAGGCGGCCCCCUGGACAAAGACUGACGCUCAGGUGCGAAAGCGUGGGGAGCAAACAGGAUUAGAUACCCUGGUAGUCCACGCCGUAAACGAUGUCGAUUUGGAGGUUGUGCCCUUGAGGCGUGGCUUCCGGAGCUAACGCGUUAAAUCGACCGCCUGGGGAGUACGGCCGCAAGGUUAAAACUCAAAUGAAUUGACGGGGGCCCGCACAAGCGGUGGAGCAUGUGGUUUAAUUCGAUGCAACGCGAAGAACCUUACCUGGUCUUGACAUCCACAGAACUUUCCAGAGAUGGAUUGGUGCCUUCGGGAACUGUGAGACAGGUGCUGCAUGGCUGUCGUCAGCUCGUGUUGUGAAAUGUUGGGUUAAGUCCCGCAACGAGCGCAACCCUUAUCCUUUGUUGCCAGCGGUCCGGCCGGGAACUCAAAGGAGACUGCCAGUGAUAAACUGGAGGAAGGUGGGGAUGACGUCAAGUCAUCAUGGCCCUUACGACCAGGGCUACACACGUGCUACAAUGGCAUAUACAAAGAGAAGCGACCUCGCGAGAGCAAGCGGACCUCAUAAAGUAUGUCGUAGUCCGGAUUGAGUCUGCAACUCGACUCCAUGAAGUCGGAAUCGCUAGUAAUCGUAGAUCAGAAUGCUACGGUGAAUACGUUCCCGGGCCUUGUACACACCGCCCGUCACACCAUGGGAGUGGGUUGCAAAAGAAGUAGGUAGCUUAACCUUCGGGAGGGCGCUUACCACUUUGUGAUUCAUGACUGGGGUGAAGUCGUAACAAGGUAACCGUAGGGGAACCUGCGGUUGGAUCACCUCCUUACCUUAAAGAA